UACAGAGGUCCCAAGCGUUGUUCGGAUUCACUGGGCGUAAAGGGUGCGUAGGUGGUGAGGUAAGUCGGAUGUGAAAUCUCCGGGCUCAACCCGGAAACUGCAUUGGAAACUACCUUGCUUGAGGAUUUGAGGGGGGAUUGGAAUACUUGGUGUAGCAGUGAAAUGCGUAGAGAUCAUGAGGAAGACCAGUGGCGAAGGCGGGUCUCUGGACAGUUCCUGACACUGAGACACGAAGGCCAGGGGAGCAAACGGG
rnacentral:rRNA from 1 species